AUUGAACGCUGGCGGUAUGCUUUACACAUGCAAGUCGAACGGUAGAGGGGCAACCCUUGAGAGUGGCGAACGGGUGAGUAAUACAUCGGAACGUGCCCAGUCGUGGGGGAUAACGUAGCGAAAGCUACGCUAAUACCGCAUACGACCUGAGGGUGAGAGCGGGGGACCUGCAAGGGCCUCGCGCGAUUGGAGCGGCCGAUGGCAGAUUAGGUAGUUGGUGAGGUAAAGGCUCACCAAGCCGACGAUCUGUAGCUGGUCUGAGAGGACGACCAGCCACACUGGGACUGAGACACGGCCCAGACUCCUACGGGAGGCAGCAGUGGGGAAUUUUGGACAAUGGGCGCAAGCCUGAUCCAGCCAUACCGCGUGCAGGAAGAAGGCCUUCGGGUUGUAAACUGCUUUUGUCAGGGAAGAAAUCUUCUGGGCUAAUACCCUGGGAGGAUGACGGUACCUGAAGAAUAAGCACCGGCUAACUUCGUGUCAGCAGCCGCCGUAAAAC
rnacentral:rRNA from 1 species